GAUUAAGUUAUUAAGGGCGCACGGUGGAUGCCUUGGCACUAGAAGCCGAUGAAGGACGUUACUAACGACGAUAUGCUUUGGGGAGCUGUAAGUAAGCUUUGAUCCAGAGAUUUCCGAAUGGGGAAACCCAGCAUGAGUUAUGUCAUGUUAUCGAUAUGUGAAUACAUAGCAUAUCAGAAGGCACACCCGGAGAACUGAAACAUCUUAGUACCCGGAGGAAGAGAAAGAAAAUUCGAUUCCCUUAGUAGCGGCGAGCGAAACGGGAAGAGCCCAAACCAACAAGCUUGCUUGUUGGGGUUGUAGGACACUCUAUACGGAGUUACAAAGGACGACAUUAGACGAAUCAUCUGGAAAGAUGAAUCAAAGAAGGUAAUAAUCCUGUAGUCGAAAAUGUUGUCUCUCUUGAGUGGAUCCUGAGUACGACGGAACACGUGAAAUUCCGUCGGAAUCUGGGAGGACCAUCUCCUAAGGCUAAAUACUCUCUAGUGACCGAUAGUGAACCAGUACCGUGAGGGAAAGGUGAAAAGCACCCCGGAAGGGGAGUGAAAUAGAACCUGAAACCGUGUGCUUACAAGUAGUCAGAGCCCGUUAAUGGGUGAUGGCGUUCCUUUUGUAGAAUGAACCGGCGAGUUACGAUUUGAUGCAAGGUUAAGCAGUAAAUGUGGAGCCGUAGCGAAAGCGAGUCUGAAUAGGGCGUUUAGUAUUUGGUCGUAGACCCGAAACCAGGUGAUCUACCCUUGGUCAGGUUGAAGUUCAGGUAACACUGAAUGGAGGACCGAACCGACUUACGUUGAAAAGUGAGCGGAUGAACUGAGGGUAGCGGAGAAAUUCCAAUCGAACCUGGAGAUAGCUGGUUCUCUCCGAAAUAGCUUUAGGGCUAGCCUCAAGUGAUGAUUAUUGGAGGUAGAGCACUGUUUGGACGAGGGGCCCCUCUCGGGUUACCGAAUUCAGACAAACUCCGAAUGCCAAUUAAUUUAACUUGGGAGUCAGAACAUGGGUGAUAAGGUCCGUGUUCGAAAGGGAAACAGCCCAGACCACCAGCUAAGGUCCCAAAAUAUAUGUUAAGUGGAAAAGGAUGUGGCGUUGCCCAGACAACUAGGAUGUUGGCUUAGAAGCAGCCAUCAUUUAAAGAGUGCGUAAUAGCUCACUAGUCGAGUGACACUGCGCCGAAAAUGUACCGGGGCUAAACAUAUUACCGAAGCUGUGGAUUGUCCUUUGGACAAUGGUAGGAGAGCGUUCUAAGGGCGUUGAAGCAUGAUCGUAAGGACAUGUGGAGCGCUUAGAAGUGAGAAUGCCGGUGUGAGUAGCGAAAGACGGGUGAGAAUCCCGUCCACCGAUUGACUAAGGUUUCCAGAGGAAGGCUCGUCCGCUCUGGGUUAGUCGGGUCCUAAGCUGAGGCCGACAGGCGUAGGCGAUGGAUAACAGGUUGAUAUUCCUGUACCACCUAUAAUCGUUUUAAUCGAUGGGGGGACGCAGUAGGAUAGGCGAAGCGUGCGAUUGGAUUGCACGUCUAAGCAGUAAGGCUGAGUAUUAGGCAAAUCCGGUACUCGUUAAGGCUGAGCUGUGAUGGGGAGAAGACAUUGAGUCUUCGAGUCGUUGAUUUCACACUGCCGAGAAAAGCCUCUAGAUAGAAAAUAGGUGCCCGUACCGCAAACCGACACAGGUAGUCAAGAUGAGAAUUCUAAGGUGAGCGAGCGAACUCUCGUUAAGGAACUCGGCAAAAUGACCCCGUAACUUCGGGAGAAGGGGUGCUCUUUAGGGUUAACGCCCAGAAGAGCCGCAGUGAAUAGGCCCAAGCGACUGUUUAUCAAAAACACAGGUCUCUGCUAAACCGUAAGGUGAUGUAUAGGGGCUGACGCCUGCCCGGUGCUGGAAGGUUAAGAGGAGUGGUUAGCUUCUGCGAAGCUACGAAUCGAAGCCCCAGUAAACGGCGGCCGUAACUAUAACGGUCCUAAGGUAGCGAAAUUCCUUGUCGGGUAAGUUCCGACCCGCACGAAAGGCGUAACGAUUUGGGCACUGUCUCAACGAGAGACUCGGUGAAAUCAUAGUACCUGUGAAGAUGCAGGUUACCCGCGACAGGACGGAAAGACCCCGUGGAGCUUUACUGUAGCCUGAUAUUGAAAUUCGGCACAGCUUGUACAGGAUAGGUAGGAGCCUUUGAAACGUGAGCGCUAGCUUACGUGGAGGCGCUGGUGGGAUACUACCCUAGCUGUGUUGGCUUUCUAACCCGCACCACUUAUCGUGGUGGGAGACAGUGUCAGGCGGGCAGUUUGACUGGGGCGGUCGCCUCCUAAAAGGUAACGGAGGCGCUCAAAGGUUCCCUCAGAAUGGUUGGAAAUCAUUCAUAGAGUGUAAAGGCAUAAGGGAGCUUGACUGCGAGACCUACAAGUCGAGCAGGGUCGAAAGACGGACUUAGUGAUCCGGUGGUUCCGCAUGGAAGGGCCAUCGCUCAACGGAUAAAAGCUACCCCGGGGAUAACAGGCUUAUCUCCCCCAAGAGUUCACAUCGACGGGGAGGUUUGGCACCUCGAUGUCGGCUCAUCGCAUCCUGGGGCUGUAGUCGGUCCCAAGGGUUGGGCUGUUCGCCCAUUAAAGCGGUACGCGAGCUGGGUUCAGAACGUCGUGAGACAGUUCGGUCCCUAUCCGUCGUGGGCGUAGGAAAUUUGAGAGGAGCUGUCCUUAGUACGAGAGGACCGGGAUGGACAUACCUCUGGUGUACCAGUUGUCGUGCCAACGGCAUAGCUGGGUAGCUAUGUGUGGACGGGAUAAGUGCUGAAAGCAUCUAAGCAUGAAGCCCCCCUCAAGAUGAGAUUUCCCAACUUCGGUUAUAAGAUCCCUCAAAGAUGAUGAGGUUAAUAGGUUCGAGGUGGAAGCAUGGUGACAUGUGGAGCUGACGAAUACUAAUCGAUCGAAGACUUAAUCAA
rnacentral:rRNA from 1 species